UUUAAAAGAAAAUGUAGGAUGCAUAUUAGAUCCUUUUCCUUUACUUAGAAAUUAUAGUGAUUAAUUUGAUGUCAUAGCAGUCACCAGAUGAUUUGUAUAUGUGCUAUAGUGUAAAGAUAGAACUGCAAAGCAAUUUGAAUAUUUAAGUUAUAUUGCAAAGGUAAUGACAGUGUUAAACGUAGAGUUACUGAAAUCAAUAAACACAUAGAUACAGAAAAAUAAGUAAUACACAUUUUAAUUUUUUUUAAAGAUUUUAUUUAUUUAUUUGCGAGAGAGAGAAUGAGAGACAGCAUGAGAAGGAGGAAGGUCAGAGGGAGAAGCAGACUCCCUGCCGAGCAGGGAGCCUGAUGCGGGACUCGAUCCCGGGACUCCAGGAUCAUGACCUGAGCUGAAAGCAGACGCUUAACCAACUGAGCCACCCAGUUUUAACUGAGGUGUUAACCAGCUUAAGAAGUGAGACAUAUUAGAUGCUUCAAUACCUGACAUUUCUAUAUCAAUCCAAAUUCUUGCGCUUGUUUCUCAUUUCUGUGGACUUCGUUCUUCAAAAGUACUGCAUGUUUCAUAAGCAAGGACCAAAGAGACUUUGUCUACAGGUGGUGAACAUGUGUACAAGAGGAUCAUCGAUACCUUCUGCGGUGGUACCAUGCACAGAAUAAUGACCCAAUUGCUGUCAUUUAUUUCCCCUUUUUGAAGCUCAUUGCAUCUUUAUAUCUCAAAAGGCACAAGUUUUAUAUAUGUACCACCAGGAAUAGAAGUGGUCUGCUUUUUGGCAAGUAACUGCCCAGAAUGUUAAGUACUUUGUUCUCUGAAUAUAUCUUAUGCUUUACUCUAUUGUUAUUUACCUCAUUGAUUUUUUCUCUAUGUUUUACUUUAGAAGUGGGAGUAAGAUUUGUAUGUGGUAAAUGUAGUUAGUGCAAUCCCAUGGACACCUUGGUCAUACUAAAGCAUUAUAACCAGGCUUUCUCACAAGCUGAGUACCUCCCACAUGCCAAUUGGAUACUAAUUGUAAAAUACUUUGUUCCUCAUUUGAAUCAUGAGCUCACAGUUUUUAGAGAGGUCCCAAACAAGAUCUUCUUAAAACAUUUGUGUUACCUGAAAAUAGACCAUUUGUAGUUUUCCUUUUUAUGGAACCUAGUAGGUCUCCCUCUAGAACAGGAUCUGAGCCUGAACAUAGUUGAUGUUUUCCUUAGUGUUCAAAUUUAAGACUCAGAUGCUACCACAAUUCUGGUUAUGUAAGGUAAAGCCAGAUUCUUGCACUGACAUUUAUAGCCAUGGUGUUGCCAUCCUGUAGAACACACAGUUCUAACAUUUUAUUGCUAUUACUAGAAUUGGACCAAAAAACCCAAGCAACAAAGAUAUUUCACUUUCAUUCACAUUAUCCUGAUUUUCAAUCGUUUUCUGUUUAACCUAAAUGGGCUUAGUAUAGAUGGCUGUGUUUGUUGGAAGUUUUAAUUGACCAUUCUGGAACACAAACUGCACUGUCAUCAGAGAACUACGAAGUGCAUUGUCCAACCUGUCUCAAUAGACAAGUUUGACCCCUAGUACAUUGAAUCAAGGCCAUAAGGAAUGAAUGGGUUAUUAAACAAUUUAAAGCAAAAUGUGGUCAUUCAUCCUCCCAUCUUUCAUUCCUACUUCCUAAGUGUGUCAAGAGUUAAUCAGUUGUGCCAGUGGUCUAUAACAUUUCUAAGCUUAUAUAAAUUAUUUGGAAUUUAUUAUAUAUAAAUGGCAUCAUUAGGGUUUUACAACUGUAUUUUUUCUUUAAUAUAUUGUGGACCAAUAUAUUUCUAAACCAAUAAAUGUAGCUUACCUAAAACUUUUCAUUGGAUGUAAAGUAGAUAUCAUAAUGGGUUUAGCCAUUUCUCUAUCUUGGGAAAUGCAGAUUAAAUGUUUAUUUAUUUUUGUUGCUGCAUAAAAUGUUUUAAUGUAUAUGUUUUAUAUAUAUGUUAUAAUAUAUAUAAUAUAUUAAAGCACUUGGGAUUCUAUUUCUGUAAGAUAGAUUUUUAGUUAUGGCAUUGUUGGAUCAGCAGUUCUGCAUACUUUUGAUUUCAGUAGAUAUUGUGAAAUUGCCAGCACACAGCUGUGGUGUAAUGGCAGUGCAUAAUUUUCAUAAAAACCUGUACAGGGUAUAUAUUAUCAAUCCUUUAAAUUUUUAACCAAUCUAAUAGGUGAAAACCAUACUUUUAACUUAAGUAUAAUUUAAAUAGUAAAUGGCCAUGGAUUAAAAAAAAAAAAGACCAAAAGGGGUAUAUUAUUUAUUUAAGAAAGAAAAAAAAAAACAAUAGUACACAUUUCCUUCAAUCACAAGAGUCAUCCUGUUUGUUUAGAGGUAGAAACCAUUGACCUUUUCUCUGUACAGUGCUUCUUGGAGGUACAUAGACUUCUUUUUUUUUUUAAGAUUUUAUUUAUUUGUCAGAGAGAGGGAGAGAACACAAGCAGGGGGAGCAGCAAGCAGAGGGAGAGGGAGAAGCAGGCUCCCCACUGAGCAGGGAGCCCUAUUCGGGGCUGGAUCAAUCCCAGGAUCCUGACCAGAGUUGAUGUUUUCCUAAGUGCUCAAGUUUAAGACUCAGACUCAAGACCUGAGCAGAAGGCAGAUGCUUAACCAACUGAGCCACCCAGGUGCCCCUGUACAUAAACUUCUUAAGCAUACCGUAUACCAGUGUGUUUUUUGUUUUUGUUUUUUUUUACUUUUUAUGUUUGAAAUAAUUUUAAAUUUAGAGUGGCAAGAAUCAUAUAGCGACCACCCUCAGACACUCUUACCCAGACUUUUUCUCUACAUUGUUUUUUCUUUUUUUCUUAUUUUCCUGCUCUUCCUCCUUCAUCCCUCCUUCCCUCUUUUUUUCUAUCUCUUCUCUCUCUCUCCCCGACCUUAUGUUGUUCUUAUUCUAUUAAAUAUUUGUGAAUAAGGUAGAGAUAUCAUGUCACUGUAACCCAAAAUACCUCAGCAUUCACUUUCUGAGAGCCUGCAAAUCCUCUUUUCUUAACUCUGGUACAGUUUUUUAAAUCAGGAAAUUUAUUAAUAGUACUAACAUGCUAUAUUAAUAUACCAUCUAUUAUUAGAUUUCACCAGUUCUAAUACUGUUCUUUAUGUCCAUUUCUUUCAUCUUUCAGGACCUGGAAAAAAGAUUCUGUAUUGUGUUCAAGUGUCAUGUUUCUCUAGUCUCAUUUAAUCUGGAGCAGUUUCUCAUUCAUUUUUGUCUUUUGAUGACAUCAGUAUUCUUGAAAAAUUAUUGGCUCAUAGUUUUUGAAAGAUCUCUCAAAUUUGAAUUUUUUUUAUGUUUCCUCCUGAUUAGGUUUAGGUUAUGCAAAUUUGGCAAGAAUAUUUUAUAACUUAUGUCCGUCUACCUCAGUGAUUCACAACAGGUGGAAAAUGAUAUCAUUUUAUCCUAUUAUUAAUGGCAUUAAUUUUGAUCACUUGGUUCAGUUGAUGUCCACUAGAUUUAUCCACUUUAAAGUUAACAUUCCUUUGUAAUUAGUAAAUAUUCUGUAGGCAAAUCAUUUGAAACUAUGUAAAUUUCCUAUUUCUCAUCAAACUUUUAUGCUAGUAGUUUUAGCAGUUACAGGUGAUUCUUAGGGAGAAUCAUUGGUGACUUUUCAAAAUCUCUGUAAUUGGUUACGCAUAUUAGUUGGUAUUCUCGUAGGAGGAAUUUGUGCAUAAUGGCUUGUGAGUAAUGUUCAACAAAGUGUUUACUGAAAAUACUUAGUGAAAAAAUGAGAUCACGGACAAGGCAGGGAAGAGUUAAUUAAAGGGUUUAAUGAAGUUUAUGUCUAACUAUGGAGUGAAAUGGAGGUGGCAGGUAGAACUUUUUUAGAGCUGGUUGAUGAAAUGUAUUCACAUGGCAGAAGAAGAGCAUGUUGUUUUGUUGUUGUUUUUUAAAGAUUUUAUUUAUUUGACACAGAGAGAGAGAGCAUGAGCAGGGAGAGUGGUAGGCAGAGGGAGAAGGAGAAGCAGACUCCCUUCAGAGCAGGGGGAGCCUGAUGUGGGACUCGAUCCCAGGACCCCAGAAUCAUGUCCUGAGCCGAAGGCAGUCGCUUAACCAGCUGAGCCACCCAGGCACUCGAGAAGAGCAUGUUUUUAGCAAUAAGUUCCAGCAAGGGAAUAUGACGGUGCCAUCAUUAUUGGCAAGGUAUUCAACGGUGGAUUUUAAAAUUUUUUUGAACUGUGAGGCAUGGCAGUGGAGGCCAGGUUCAGAUGCACCUGAUAUUUUAUGCAGAUGGUAAAUCAAUAGUGUUCCUCUUUUUGUUCUUCAUUGCUUUAAGUUUCCAUAACCCUUUACAGAGUUUGAGAUUGAUGGUGAAGGAACUUUAUUUGAGGUGCUAUCUAAAGAUGAACACUCAGCUUUCGGAGUAUUUUUUUUAAGAUUUUAUUUAUUCAUGAAAGACACAGAGAGAGAGAGAGAGAGGAAGAGGGAGAAGCAGUCUCCCCAAGGUUCAGGGACCCCGAUGCGGGACUCGAUCCCAGGACCCCGGGAUCAUGACCUGAGCCGAAGGCAGAUGCUAAACCAUCUGAGCCACCCAGGUGCCCCGCUUUCUGAGCUUUUAUUCAUGUUUUAACUUUCACUAUUUCUCCAGCUCUGUGUGGCGCUGUCUGUGCCGAUGAUAUGGAUUGUGGCAGUGGUUAUGUUGGCUAAAACCUAUAUACCCAUGAAGUCUGUUCUAUGUUCUCUGUAACCAGGGAAUUUUAAGAAAUCUACUCACAAUCACAAAUUUCAUGCUAUUUAAGGAAGGUUUCCAGAAUGAAGAGGUUUUAAGCUUCCAAAAAUGACUUAGUUGAAUUGAUGAAAUGUUUUUAGUCAUCUGAAUAUGAUUUUCAAAGUCUAGCUCAGUUUUGCUGAAGUGCAGGCCACCUGAUAUGAAUAGAAAUGUCAUACUAAUUUAUAAAUUGUAAACUAAGGCAGUAUAUUUACAGAAGCAUGGAUAUGGCCCAAGGCUUUGGAUCCAAAUGGUAAUCUGAAUACUCCCUGCUUCCCGUAUCUAACUUUGUACUGUCUUUAGUGACAAGCUUGUUAGCAGAGGCUCAGUAAAUGUUAUCAUUAAAUGCAUAGAGGAGAAAACAGAAGCAAGGCAAAAAUUACUGAUUGUAAACAAAUGAAGUAUCAACUAAAUGAAUAUGCAAAUAGGUAAAUAAAUAACCAGUGAAGAAAGCUGUCAUGUGAAGAAGGCAAAACAGUUUAAGAAGGCAGCCAGGGUCCAAGAGAAGUCUGUAUUGUAUUAAUAUAAAUAUUGUUACUUUCAUAUAUAACAUAAUAAGGGUAUAUUGGAAAUUUUGAAAUCUGCCUGGCUACAACACAUCCUCCUCUCUUUUAUGAGGCCAAAUGUAUCAGAUUAUUGUUUUGGUGUUGAUGUGAUUAAGACCAGUUUUAUUACCAGAUUCAUAAAUUGAGCCUCAAACCCUUACAAUUUUCAAUGAUGUGAAGGGAGUUUUAAAAAAAUAAAUAGAUCACAACAGGAGAGCAUGUUACUAUUUAAUUAUUCUCUGAGAUGAUAAUAGAAACUGUGCUGCCAAAAACUUCUCGAUACAGGAAAGUAUCGAGUAGUAGUAGAGUAGUCCCAAAGAAAACAGCCUCUCAAAUUUCAAAUCUGAAUGGAAUCAAUAUGGCCCUACUCUGUAGAAGAAGGCAGGGGGGCAGUAUAGCUGGGUCUUUUCAUCAAGCAAGGCACUGUCAAGGUAGCAGCCCUUGAAUUUGAAAUAAGAAUGCAAAUGAGAAUAAACACAAGGCUGACCUCACAACACUGAAGUCCCCUUAAAGAGAGGAGCGGUAAUUACUGUAAAGUUUCUUCAAUCACGGUGAAGCCUUUUCCUCCCAAAGGAAGUAGUGUGAAGUGACUAAGAAAAAAAAUUUAAGAAGAAGAUUGGAGUUUCUUUUCUCUCCUUGUCUCUUGAGUUUUGUUGCUUUGAUAGAUCAUUUGCACAAAAAUCCAGGCCUGUGGCUUUUCUGGUAAUUGGUUUAAUAGGAUAGGACAUUAAGUUAGUUCCAAGGAAAAACUAUGCGAUUGGUUAAAAAUACUACAGUUAUGACAGUUUGAAAUAAUUCUCUGCUAUAUUGUUCUAUAUAGUUCAUCAUAUGAGAUUAUGUAACAGUCAUGUUAUCUUUAUUUUCAUUUUACCACAAAAUAAAUUCUAAAAUUGAUACAUCAUUUUUUUUCAGAAAUUUUAGGCCCUAAGAAGUCCCUCCCAUAAUUUCUCAUUCAACAUUUUCUAAGGUAGAGUGUUCUCAUUUAGUGCUUGGGGCAAGAAUUAUUGUCCUGUUCAAUGGCUGUAUUUUAUUCAUAAUUAACAUGCCAACUUCUUUCAUUUUUUAAAAAUUUCCAAAUUUUGACUUCUAUCAUUCUUAUAUUUUCUAUAUUUUUAUAUAAACAAGUUAUGUAAGAUAAAGAUCACUGUGAAUAAAAUACUAAUGAGAUAGCAAGACCUGGAAUAAGAAGGCAAGGUACAUGGUUAUUUAAAAAGUCAUAUGAGGGCGCCUGGGUGGCUCAGUUGUUAAGCGUCUGCCUUCGGCUCAGGUCAUGAUCCCAGGGUCCUGGGAUCGAGUCCCACAUCGGGCUCCCUGCUCGGCAGGAAGCCUGCUUCUCCCUCUCCCACUCCCCCUGCUUGUGUUCCUGCUCUCUUUAUCUCUCUCUCUGUCAAAUAAAUAAAUAAAAAUCUUUAAAAAACAAAAAAUAAAAAAAUAAAAAAUAAAAAGUCAUAUGAAAGGUUUUGUACUGGGUUAAUGCUAUGGAAGUAUUGAGAAGUAAUGGGAUUUAGGAUGUAUUUUGAAAGUAUUGUCAGUCCUACUUGAUAAAGUAUUGAAUGGUACUGGGUGAAACAAGAAGAUUCAAAUAGGAUAGUAUGAUCAGGACCUCAGCAACUGAGAAAAUGGUAAUACCAUUUACUAUGCUAGGCAAUGCUGAUUUCCUCAAAAUGCAUGGUAAGAAAUUGAUCUGUUUUGCCAGUUUCAUAUUCAUAUUAAACCUAUGGGUUAAGAUGUUGAAUUUUAAUGUAGAAAUAGGACUCAGACAGAAGCACAGGGUGUAAAUUGGGGACUGGGAUAUUACUCUGGAUGAGUCGGUACAGGCUGUUACUUAUGGCCAUGUGAAAGGUUGACAUCUUGAGAUGGUGUAUACAUGGGAGUAAGAAUAUAUUCACCUUAAGACUGUGCCACCUCUAGAAUUUAGAUAUUGAGUAAAUGAGGAGAAUUCAUUAAAAGAGAUUGUCAAGCGUGGCUAGAGUUACUGAAUGAAAAUUAAAGGAUUUCAUUGUUCCUGAAGGGAAGUGAAUGAAUUAAAAAAUAAUAAUAAUAAUGGGUUAGCAGUUGGCUUUCACAUGACAUUGGAAGGCACAGUUAAUUUUGGAAAUAAAGAGAAUGUCAUUGAUAUUAAGUAAAAGUGCUGUGUGGUGGGGAGGGUAGGUAGUGCUUUUAAUCAAAGGAGCCCUCUUGAGUCCACAAUUUGCUCUGUAAUAUUGUUACCAGUGUCAACCUGGCACAGACAGAUGCUGAUGUGUUGUGAGUUGCUUGCAUGAAUCAUAAUAAAAUGAAGAUACAUCUCAGUUGUACAAUUUGAGAUCCUUUUCAGUAUUGCACAUUAUAUGCAUACGGGAUAGAGCUGGUUGUCUUCAUUAUAACUACUCUGUCUUCCAGUAAUUAUCUUUGUGUGACUUUAUCCAUUGAGUUCCCACUUGCAUUGUGUUGAUUGGCUCCUACAUCUAUUGAACACAGUAGAAUAUUUCAUUAAGGUAAAAUUGCUUGCUAGUUCCAGAGGUCUUGUUUUUGUGAGAUGUUGAGCAAAGACUGUUGAAGAAAGGAACAGGUGAGGAGCCAAGUGAAAGAAAAAUUAACAGCCUAAUCAUGAACAAGUGAAAAGGCAUGAAGAAAGGAUGGUGUUACAAAUCAAGUGAGUGAAGCAAGACAAAAUGUACAGAAGGCAGAAUUUUGAAGGAAAGAACUAUAAGAACAAGGUCAAAGUGUGCUGAAGGUACAUUUUAAAUACUAGUUCUGUAGGAUAAUAAAUGUAAAUAACAUCUCUACGGUCAAGGAGAAGAUAAGAAUGUGGAAGGUGAUCUUUUUAAAUUGAAUCUGGAAUAGUUCCAUAAAUUUAUUAUACAUUUUCAUUCCCUAAUGUUUUAAGAAUGAGUCUAGAAAUUUUUUAUCCAACCAGUCUGAAUUAUCACCAUUUAAUUUAUAUCAUUCUUAUGCCUCUAACAUUUCAGUUACCAAAUUUUCUUUUAUUUAUGUGUCUUAAUAGACUAGAAAUAAUGAGCUCCUUUUGACAGGGAUGUUUUCCUAUUCAUAUUUAACUUUCCAUUACCUUACAGAGCCUAGUAUGUAGCAGAUAAUGUAAUUUUAUAAUUGUGUUCACUAACAUCUUGUUUAGUGUGUGGAUGACUAAGAUUUUGAUGAAUUAUUCACUUAAAGGGCUAAGAAAUUAAAAUUUAUAGAGACCCAAUAUGAGGCAGCUCCUUGAGGAUAUUUUCUGAGAAUGUUUUGGCCAUGACUGAGGAAAUCAUAGAUUCUUUACACUCUGCUGUAUUGGAAAUUGCAAAUGUAGAUUAUAGUAUAGGGAAAUUGAGUAUCUGCUGGAUUAGACUUUUUAUGUUGAACAUUAUGGGUUGAGUUAAAAAUUCCCAUUGAUAAUUGUGGAGGAGUAGAAUGCGGCCCUUGUUUUCUUUUCUGCUUAUAUGGCAUGUACCACUGGUGUCCUUUUUUUCUACAGUGUUCCCUCAUACAAAAAUAAUCCAGAUAGGAAGCCUUAUGGAUGAUAGACUUUUCCCUCUGGAUAGAAUGAACAUGUUUUGUAGUAUUUAUCUUUUUGUGUGUAAUCUGUCCUUAGAAUACAUUUAUUUUCUAUGUAUUCUACACUUCUCUACUUUUAAAAUUACCUUGGAAAAAAUAAAAUAAAAUGACCUUGAAAGAGAAGAAUUGUUCUUGGGGAGAGACUGUGGACAGGCCAAUUUAAUAACACAUUAAGUUGUACAAUAUAGUCACUGAUGGCAUGCAAUCAUGGAAAGGAACAAUAUAGUACAGCCUAUAUGACUGAUUUCAGUGAGACCAUUCAGUGUCCCUAUAAUAUUGUAUUAAUAUUGCUGUCUUUGAAUUUUCUAACUUUUAAAAAUUAUUCUUUUGUGUAUCUAUAUGCGAUUCUACCAUGCUAAGUAUGAUGGGUAAUUCCCAAAAGAGUAUGUUAGUUAUAACCAUUUAUUUGAUCCAGUUCAUUUGUUUAGUAUUAAGAUUCAAGGAGUCCUGAAGAGAAGUCUACUGACUAAUGAUGAAUGAGAAUGAUAUAUAUGUGUUUUAAAUGGUAGUCCAGAAGAAACAAUAAGGAAAAGAAGGAACUGUACAUGAGCCUUUCUCGUUACUCUUAGGUUGGAAAGUCCAGAAGAGUAAGAACAAUCACCUUUGUGGAGACUGUGAAGAGGUGAAUACUGCCCUUUCAGUAAGGGCUGAUCAAGUUGUCAGAAAGUGUUGAUUUCUAGAAAGACAAUGAAAACAAUAGGUAAAUAGGAUCUGUAUUCCUUGCUUUCCUUCUGGCUUUUAAUCAGCUGUUCCAAGUAAGUUUAAGAUAUCUUCUGACUACAUUACCUUUAGAUUUCUUACCUUCAGUACCUUUAGAAAAGUACUGCUAUUGGUUCAAUUUGGAGGAGUGAUAGAUCCAACCAAUGCCUUGUUAAAUUGUGUCAUUGGUUCAUGAUUAUCAUCAUUCAUAAUACUAUUGUGCACUGUCAUUCCCUAACUAAUGGUUUAGAAAUACUUUUUCUAAGUAAUCUCUAUGUUCAACAUGGGGCUUGAACUCAUGACUCUGAAAUCAAGAGUCAUAUACUGCACUGACUGAGCCAGCAGGAGCCCCAAGUCUAGAAAUAUUUUGUCCAGCCUGGACACCCACACCCAUACCUCCCUUCCAUUAGUGGAGAAAGUGCUGGUUUGGAGAGAGCAUCUGAAUGGAUCCAUUAAUAAAAUGGUAAAUUUGAGAUGAGACCAUUGUUGAAUGGCACCCAGAUCUGAAGUGUCUCAGUAUUGGUCAAUAUGCCUUAAUGUAAAUAGCUGCAUUCAUUGAAUCCUAUUUGCUUUGGCUCCCUACUUCCAACACUUAAGUGUUGUGUUUAUAUCCUUAUCAAUGCACACACCAAUUUUGAUUCCUUUUAUGCCUGCUGUUCUGUCUCCCCCAUACACACACACACACACACAUAAAAUGAGCUCCUACUUGACAGGGAUUUUUUUUCUAUUGUCUUAUGCUGCAAUAUCUAAAAGUAAGAAUUUCAUUAAAGUUCAGAAAUAAACAAAUUUGUGAAAGAAUGAGAGGUCAUAAAUAAUGAGAGAGAAUAUAACAAAGGAAUGAGUGAUUCAGAGAGACAAGUGAUAUUAUUUGAGUAAUUUGAGAACCUCAUGUUUGACAAUGUUGAAAGAGAAGAACAUAAAAUUUAGUGAUUUUUUUUUUUUUCUGAGACAUAGACAUGUAGAUAUUAACUCUGAGAAUAAAAUGGUUUACAGAUCUUUCUCAACAUGCAGUGGGGUUAUGUACUGAUAAACCUAUCAUAAUUUGAAAAUGUUGUAAGUUGAAAAUGCAUUUAAUACACCCAACAUACCAACAUACCAUCAUAGCUUAGCCUACCCUAUCUUAAACAUGCUCAGAACAUUUACAUUAGCCUCAAUUGGUCAAAAUCAUCUAACACAAAGCCUAUUUUUUAUAAUAAAAUGUUGACUCAUGUAAUUUGUUGAUUACUGAAAGUGAAAAACAGGAUGGUUAUAUAGGUAUAGAGUGGUUAUAAUUUAUCAAUUUUUUACCCUAAUGAUCCUCUGGAUGACUAGGAGCUGCUACUUGCUCCCUCUGCCUAGAAUCACAAGAGAGUAUCAUACUGUAUGUCACUAGCCCUGGAAAAGAUUACAAUUCAGUAUUUUAAAUUCAGUUCUACUGAGUAUGUACCACUUUUAAGCAACAUAAAGUCAAAAAAUUGUACGUCAAACCAUCAUAAGUCAGGGAUGUCUGUAUUUAAAAAUAGUGGAUAAAACCCAUUAAACAUGUCUGAAUUUGCUACAUGAGAACAGGAUUAUUCUUUGGGCCUCCCUUCUAAGUAUGUUCCAUGUGCAUGUUGUAUAAUUCUAUUUUAGCAUUGGCACUUGGCUAACUCUUGAAUUUAUGCAGGGAAGGGAGAGGGCCAGUACUGAUACCACUUUGGGUCUGUCUUCAGGUUUAUUGUGAUGCAAGGGAAAUGCUCUCUUUGUUGCCUAUGGAAAUAUAAGGGCUUAGUUGUGUCAGUUGCUACUGCUUAAAAAAUCUUCCUAAAUUUUUGUCAGUUUUAUUGAGAUAUAACUGACAUACAUAAUUGUAAGAUCUUUAAAGUAUGAUAUGAAAUUGUAAGAUCUAUAAAGUGAUAGAGAUGAUUUGAUAUAUAUAAUA